rnacentral:misc_RNA from 1 species
GAUGAAGAACGCAGCAAAAUGCGAUAAGUAAUGUGAAUUGCAGAAUUCAGUGAAUCAUCGAAUCUUUGAACGCACAUUGCGCCCGGCAGUAUUCUGGCGGGCAUGCCUGUUCGAGCGUCAUUUCAACCCUCAAGCACAGCUUGGUGUUGGGACUCGCGUUAAUUCGCGUUCCCCAAAUUGAUUGGCGGUCACGUCGAGCUUCCAUAGCGUAGUAGUAAAACCCUCGUUACUGGUAAUCGUCGCGGCCACGCCGUUAAACCCCAACUUCUGAAUGUUGACCUCGGAUCAGGUAGGAAUACCCGCUGAACUUAAGCAUAUCAAUAAGCGGAGGA